UUUCCAGGUACUGUAACUGGACAUGUUGCAGAACUGGAUAUGGAGGAAGGCUCUGACAGAGAAGUCCUAUUGGAGGACACACCAAUGGAGGCGGCUUCUCAUCCAAUGCAUGGUUUGAACGAUGACUGCCCAAAUGGAUGGAGACACUUUCGAGGCCGUUGCUUCAGGUUUUUCACAGCCUUGGUGGGAAGCCGAGGCACAGUGUAACCUCCACGGUGCACAUCUUGCAUCAAUCCACGACCAUAAUGAGGCCCAUUUUGUGGAAUGGGUAGCUGAACACACCAAUGAAGUCUGGAUCGGUGGAGAGAGAAGAUUCAAGCGCUGGUCCUGGACCGACGGCAGUUGGUUUUCCUAUACCCACUGGGAUGUAGGGCAGCCAAACAACCAUGGCGGCUCUCAAGAUUGCCUCCUCAUCCGCGGUAGGCCUAU